UUUUUUUUUUUCUUUUUGGCUUUUUUUUACAUAUGGAGGUUCCCAGCUAGGGACCGAAUUGGAGCUGCAGCUGCUGGCCUACGCCACAGCCACAGCAACAUGGGAUCUUGGCCAUGUCUGCGACCUACACCGCAGCUCACAGCAACGGCAGAUCCCUGACCCACUGAUCUGAGCGAAGCCAGGGAUCAAAUCCACAUCCUCAUGGAUACUAGCUGGAUUCAUUUCCACUGCACCACAAAGGGAACUCCCAUAUCUGAUGUUUUAAACCCAUAUAUAUGUAAUUUUUAUAAGCCUACAAAAUAGUUUAUAAUAUGUAAGAAACUAAUGAAUUAUUAAUAGUGUUUUUCACUGGGUGGUAUAAUUAUGAGUGAUUAUCUAAUCCUCUUCUUUAUUUUUAAAUUUCUACGACUAUUAAACUUACAAUGCAUACAUAAUACAUUUUACCAUGCUUGUCUAACAAAAAAGUAUUUUUACAACGUGAUUUAAAAAUUCUCCAGUCUCCUCGUCACUGCCCUUGUUCUUCUCUGCUGGGCUGGAAGACAACAUCUGGAUUAGAAGCAGGGCAGAAAAUUAUUCUUACUUCUUCCGCUCCUGAAAGCCUAUAGACAAAUUAUAGCGCUCUCAUUUCAUGGCUGUCAGCCUCGGCUCCUCCUUCCUCAUAUUCCUGAGGCUGCGAAGUCUGUGCAAUUUCAGAUUUUUUUAAGCCGAGAUUUCAGUUUUCCAAAGACGACGACAAGAUUUAAGGAACCCUUUUUCCUUCUGCGCUCACUUAAUUUUAAGAAACUACUAUGGGGUUUAGGAGAGGAGGGCAUGGAUGCUGCAGUCACAUAAAAAGCUACAGCCAGUGAGACCACCCUCCCUCCCCACUUAGAGGCAUGAGAGGAUAUUCAAGGGCGGACACAGAGACUGGGAUUGGGAAGGUCAAGGUGGCCUUUUGGAGUCAAGGGAUAUUACAUACUAGCCACAGAAGCACACGGGGGGCCUGCAAAGUUCAGCACUGCAGGCAAAAGCACUGCCUUUGAGGGGUCCAGCGAUUUACAACCAGAGCUUGGUGAUUCAUCCAGACACCAAAGAGCAACCACAGGGCUGGGGCAGGGGAUGCCGCAGGCCAACCAGGGAGCAGGUUUCAGAAGACUGAUUCCAGGGCAGGCGGGCACUGCUACCAUUUCCAGCAGCCUAAGACUCUGAGAGAAUGACUGGUAACCUGAGAGAGGAACUGGCCAGAGUCAGAAAAGCUCCCGGCUGCCAGGAAGCCAGGAGUCUACAAACAAGGCAUACUCUUGAUAGACUGGACGUGGAGACACCACUCCAGAGCCUUCUGGUCAGCAGGUGCAGGCAAGGGGGAGGAAGGGCAACUGGCACGGAUGCCCGGUGGCUCGAGGUUUAAGAUGUGAACCCCGCUUCUUGGCUCACGAGGCUGCUGCUGGAACUGCGCCUCAGCCCCCAUGUCAGAUGUCAUCCUGGGGCUCCAUGUGUGGACGAGAAGAUAGGGCAGGGGUCUCAGAGCAGCUGGGGUAGGGAGGGCAGGGCUCCCCAAAGUCACAGGUCCUCACUGCUGUGCCUGCUUGUCUUGCAACACCUGGGUGAAGCAGGGCCUGCUUCAGAGACGCCCUUUUCUUUGCUCUGCAAAAGGUAAUAAAGCCUGAGCCAUGGAGGCCGCAGCCUGAAAACCAUUCACGUGCCUUCCUCUUUGGGUCUGCUUAGGGGUGGAGGACCUGCGCUCUACGUGGCAAGGAGGGAGAUUCGUGAGUUUUCUUGGUUCCUUCACCUCCUCCUUCCAGAGGUGAUGUUAAGCUUUGGAGGAAGCAGACCACGGGGCUCUUGUAACUGGAGAGAAAGCCCUCGCAUUCCACGGAAGUCAAGUACUGGGGCUGGUGCCGAGAAAAAUUAAGAAGAGCUCUAAAUAAAAGCCCACAGUUUUCCCACUUAUGGGAAGGCGACAAGGAAUAGGAAGGUGGUAAAAGGCGACAUGGGCCUGGUUUUGGUCUAGAGGGAGGGAGAGAUGUGUGUGACAGUGAGGUUGGCACUGAGGUCGGGGGGGAGAGGCUUGCUCCCAUUUUCCAUGGCGACAAGCCCACAGGGGCCCCAUAUCCCUCUGGGGCCCAUCCCAUCCAAGGGACCAUGUGGCAAGAAACUCAGUUCCCAUGGAGGGAAGGGGGAGGUUGAGUUGAAAGCCAGAGGGGCAGCUGAGGGUCUCCCUCGCAUGAGUUGAAACUGCAGUGGAGGCUGGGAUGGGUGGCGGGAAACACGGCCUAAGCUCGAGGAGGUCAAGGGCCUGCAGCCAGUAUGGGCCAUGUGGAACUGAGGCAGACGGGCCCUCAUCAGGCCGAGAGGUCAGAUCCCAAGUCGGGCCGGCUGCAGACAUCUGCCAGUGACAGCAGCUGGGCAAGAAGCAGCCAGGAGGACCAAGGACACAUGGGAAGGAAAGACACAAAAAGACCGUGGGGUUUCUGCUUGGCCAUUUAAGGGGAAUAAGUCCAUCUGUCCCCACACACCCAGAAGUCAUCUGAGAUGAGCAUUCUUUCCUGAGUAGGCAGGACAUUUCCAAAGAAGGGAACUACUGUCGAACCCAGCAGCAGUCCCUAGAUUCCUGAUUUGACUGAGCCUGGUGUAUAGCGAGGGCUCAACUGAUAUUUGCCAGUGAGUGGAUGAACAUUUGAAUAUUCUGCUCUCCCCUGGCCAAGACAUGUGAUUUAAAACGGAGGAAAAUUUCUAACAACCAAAUGGCAGAUGUGAUAUUUUAUAUUCAUCUCCAUGUCAGAGCACUUCAUGGAGGCGAGGGUGCCAGAGACAGGGUGAAAAAAUUCUUGUUCACAACCUUUCUUCAGCAUCAUCACCCUUUCGCUUCUGUUUACUCCAUCGUCACAUGCAUCAGUCACUGCUGGGAGGCCCUCUGGGGUGGGGGAUUGGGGUAGCACAUACAGAAGGAUAGUCAUGUCUGCAUUAAGAGUUAUUGUCAGUUUGUUUUACAGCAGAGACGAAAGCAAACUUGCUACAAACCUUUGUUGAGUGAUGGCAAAAUAACACCAUACAUGAAAGAUGAAUGAAUAGAUGCAUAAAUAAAUAGAUACCAAGCUACCGCAUUAGGAUUAACUGAAUUCAGAUUGGAGAUGAGGCUGGCCUCUAAAGUAGGAAGCUGUGACUUGCCAGGAGCCAUUCACAGAGCCCUUCCCUCCACUGAACCUCAGCUACGGCAGGACUGUGGGGAUGGCUCGCCCCCCAAAUCAGUUCUGUCUAGGAAACCACCUGCAGCGACUGCGCACACUGCAGUCAGAAAUUCGGUGUUGAUAAAAGACACUCAAGGAACAUUUCUCUCCUUUUUCCUUUAAGUUAAACUUCUUAGGAGCCUGGGGUCCACUGAACUUCAUGCACAGAAGUCAGACUCCAAAAUACUUGACUUGGGCAUCCUACCAAGUCUAUAAAGAGCCUCCCCGGGCGGGUGAGUUUUCCCAGGCCUCCCACACCCACCACCUGCUCACAGAAGGCUUUGAAGGGGCCACUGCUCCAUCACCACGACUGCUCAUUACAUUGUUCUAACAGUAAAGCAAACUGGGCACAGCCUCUCUCCCGCUAUGAGGAUGUACUCUCAGGGCAGUUCAGUGACACAGGAGUGUGGAGUUCUGGGAAAAAAUGAAGCUCUUCGCCCCUGACUUCUUGUGCGCUUGGUUGCAGAAGUUAUUUUUAGAGCCACGUGGGCAGCAGAAAAGAGUGAAGACAGUGACCUGAAACUGCAGAGAGAGAUUGCAAAAGUGUCAGCCCACAUCUCCCGACUUGGGAAACGUCUGGGUGGAAACUCCUGCAGCCUUAAAAACGGUGCUGGUCCACAGGGCGAAGAACGCCUCAGUGUCCGCAAAGGAGCAUGCAGAUGGUCCUUUGCGUUUGCUGGGCUGCUGGCAGUUCAUUAUUUGGGGGAGAAGCACACCACAGGCUCUGCUGUCUGUGCUUAUAAUGAACUUUCCUGAGCUUGGAGAGAUAAUUGUUUGCUUUCUCUCCAAUCUAAGAGACAUGAAAGAGUCACGUGUUCCUGAAUUUCCAUAAACGAGGGGAGAAAAUGGAUAGGGGCGAGGAGGCUCCAAAUGGAGCCUUGAACUUAACAAAGGCUGGGCAACUGGUGAGGCCUGAUAAGAACCAACCUACCUCUCGGAGGAUGGAAACUCCCCCAAGUGCUACUGGACAGGUGCCUAAAUGCAAAAGGCGGUUUGGGUUUGAGAACAAGUUAUAAUCUGUAUCUCAAGUGGUCCUGUCUGAAGGACCCCUAAAGACGAUUAAGGAAUAAUUAAUUAUGCACGAAGGGCCAGAUGCAACAGGAGAUGCAGAAAGAGUUCUAACCUGGGCUGUAGAGAAAACCACUAGGCCGCAAAGAAGAAAGGGAGGAAAGGGUAUUUCCUGCUCUGAACCCAAUCUGAGAGUCUUUUUAGUUAUUUUUGCAGCACUGAGAAGAAAGACCAGAAUCAAAAAGGACUAUGAAAGUGCCCAGAAGAUGGCACAUUCUGGAAUCAUCUAGAAAGGAGGGCUUAAAGCUAUCAUAAUAAAGGCUGAAGUCUACCCCUCUCCCCUACCUAUAAUCAUACCCAUGCGGCUCCAACCAAUGAGGAAUUUGAAUCGUAUUGUUUUUGCCCCACCAGAUCAAUCUGCUAAAAUGGAUGGUACUGCUGUUUCCCCACUGAUGUCCAGGAAUAACUCAGGACCUGGACAUUUAACUCGGAGGUAAAGUGUCUUCCAUUUAGAGAAAUAGUUAAUUUCAAAGUGAAACUUAUUUGUUCUCUGGCAGCCCACCCCACUGAAACACUUCAUGAGUGAGGAGGAAAGUCUUUCCAGCAUUAUUCAGGUUCACCCACGUGGCUGCUGUGAGCUGUCAAUGAUACACGUUGGUUGAUGGAGGCAGGCGGAUGCCUGUCAUCGAGAAUGGUUACCCUGCAAGCUGUGCUCUGACUCCAGGGCACUGCCUGGGAAUUUGGUUUCCGAAUGAAAGGUAUCCACAGCAAUAUCAGCGUGUCACAAAAAGAAAAAUUAACCUACCCAGGCUGGUGCUGAAGGUACAGAAGUGAUGUCAAGAAAUACCACUAACGUUCCCCCAAAGCAGUAUGUUCACCACUGCAUAAGCACACUCUGUUAUGCAAUGAACAGACUUCCUUAAGGGACUGGCUUGGGAACUGCGCGCCCGAUUCUCCGAUGCAAAUCCCUUGGCAUUCAAAAGGCCUCACGGAGUUCCCACUGUGGUGCAGCGGAGACAAAACUGACUAGGAACCGUGAGGUUGUGGGUUCCAUCCCUGGCCUCGCUCAGUGGGUUAAGGAUCCAGCGUUGCCAUGAGCUGUGGUGUAGGUCACAGCCGCGGCUUGGAUCUGGCGUUGCUGUGGCUGUAGUGUAGGCUGGCAGCAACAGCUCCGAUUAGACCCCUAGCCUGGGAACCUCCAUACGCUGUGGGUGCGGCCCUAAAAAGACAAAAAAAAAAA
rnacentral:lncRNA from 1 species